rnacentral:rRNA from 1 species
AGAGUUUGAUCAUGGCUCAGAACGAACGCUGGCGGCGUGCUUAACACAUGCAAGUCGAAUGCGAGGCGGCCUUUCGGGGGCGUAGUAGCAUGGCAGACGGGUGAGGAACGCGUACCUGACCUGGCUCGCGAUGGGGGAUAGUCCUGCGAAAGUGGGCUGAAGCCCGCAUCCGCUCCGACAGGGGGCUGUCGGAGGAAAGUUGGCCGCUCCAAGGAAGCUGACGUCGCGAGAGGGGGGUGCGUCCUAUUAGCUGGUUGGUGGGGUAAUGGCCUACCAAGGCGACGAUGGGUAGCUGGUCUGAGAGGAUGAUCAGCCACACUGGGACUGAGAAACGGCCCAGACUCCUACGGGAGGCAGCAGUGGGGAAUUUUGGGCAAUGGGCGCAAGCCUGACCCAGCAACGCCGCGUCCGUGAAGACGCCCUUCGGGGUGUAAAACGGUGUCAACAGGGACGAAUGGUUCGUCAGUGAAGAGCUGGCGAGCGUGACGGUACCUGUGGAGGAAGCCCCGGCUAACUCCGUGCCAGCAGCCGCGGUAAGACGGAGGGGGCAAGCGUUGUUCGGAAUGACUGGGCGUAAAGGGCGCGUAGGCGGCGGCCCAAGUGUCACGUGAAAGCCCUCGGCUUAACCGGGGAAGGGCGUGGCAGACUGGGCGGCUUGAGUGCCGGAGGGGGAGAUGGAAUUCCUGGUGGAGCGGUGAAAUGCGUAGAGAUCAGGAAGAACGUCGGUGGCGAAGGCGGUCUCCUGGACGGACACUGACGCUGAGGCGCGAGAGCGUGGGGAGCGAACGGGAUUAGAUACCCCGGUAGUCCACGCCGUAAACGAUGGGCACUAGGUGUGGGCCAGAGGACCUGGUCUGUGCCGGAGCUAACGCAGUAAGUGCCCCGCCUGGGGAGUACGGUCGCAAGGCUGAAACUCAAAUGAAUUGACGG